CCUACGGGUGGCAGCAGUGGGGAACAUUGGACAAUGGGCGAAAGCCUGAUCCAGCCAUACCGCGUGUGUGAAGAAGGCCUUCGGGUUGUAAAGCACUUUCAGUGGGGAAGAAAGCCUUGGGGCUAAUACCCUCGAGGAAGGACAUCACCCACAGAAGAAGCACCGGCUAACUCCGUGCCAGCAGCCGCGGUAAUACGGAGGGUGCGAGCGUUAAUCGGAAUUACUGGGCGUAAAGCGCGCGUAGGCGGUCUGAUAAGCCGGUUGUGAAAGCCCCGGGCUCAACCUGGAAACGGCAUCCGGAACUGUCAGGCUAGAGUGCAGGAGAGGAAGGUAGAAUUCCCGGUGUAGCGGUGAAAUGCGUAGAGAUCGGGAGGAAUACCAGUGGCGAAGGCGGCCUUCUGGACUGACACUGACGCUGAGGUGCGAAAGCGUGGGUAGCAAACAGGAUUAGAUACCCCUGUAGUC
rnacentral:rRNA from 1 species